rnacentral:rRNA from 1 species
CCUACGGGGGGCAGCAGUGGGGAAUAUUGGACAAUGGGGGGAACCCUGAUCCAGCCAUGCCGCGUGUGUGAAGAAGGCCCUCAGGUUGUAAAGCACUUUCAGUGAGGAAGAACGCCUGGUGGUUAAUACCCAUCAGGAAAGACAUCACUCACAGAAGAAGCACCGGCUAACUCCGUGCCAGCAGCCGCGGUAAUACGGAGGGUGCGAGCGUUAAUCGGAAUUACUGGGCGUAAAGCGCGCGUAGGUGGCUUGAUAAGCCGGUUGUGAAAGCCCCGGGCUCAACCUGGGAACGGCAUCCGGAACUGUCAAGCUAGAGUGCAGGAGAGGAAGGUAGAAUUCCCGGUGUAGCGGUGAAAUGCGUAGAGAUCGGGAGGAAUACCAGUGGCGAAGGCGGCCUUCUGGACUGACACUGACACUGAGGUGCGAAAGCGUGGGUAGCAAACAGGAUUAGAUACCCCGGUAGUC